rnacentral:rRNA from 1 species
AUUGAACGCUGGCGGCAUGCUUUACACAUGCAAGUCGGACGAGUGGCGAACGGGUGAGUAACGCAUCGGAACGUAGCGAGUAAUGGGGGAUAACUGGCUGAAAGGACAGCUAAUACCGCAUACUAUUCGAGCGGCCGAUGUCUGAUUAGCUGGUUGGCGGGGUAAAGGCCCACCAGGGCGACGAUCAGUCGCGGGUCUGAGAGGAUGAUCGGCCAAACUGGGACUGAGACACGGCCCAGACUCCGACGGGAGGCAGCAGUGGGGAAUUUUGGACAAUGGGCGCAAGCCGGAUCCAGCCAUGCCGCGUGUCGGAAGAGGGCCUUCGGGUUGUAAAGGCCUUUUGUCAGGGAAGCGGUACCUGAAGAAUAAGCACCGGCUAACUACGUGCCAGCAGCCGCGGUAAUAC